rnacentral:rRNA from 1 species
GACGAACGCUGGCGGCGUGCUUAACACAUGCAAGUCGAACGGAAAGGCCCUGCUUUUGUGGGGUGCUCGAGUGGCGAACGGGUGAGUAACACGUGAGUAACCUGCCCUUGACUUUGGGAUAACUUCAGGAAACUGGGGCUAAUACCGGAUAGGAGCUCCUGCUGCAUGGUGGGGGUUGGAAAGUUUCGGCGGUUGGGGAUGGACUCGCGGCUUGUCAGCUUGUUGGUGGGGUAGUGGCUUACCAAGGCUUUGACGGGUAGCCGGCCUGAGAGGGUGACCGGCCACAUUGGGACUGAGAUACGGCCCAGACUCCUACGGGAGGCAGCAGUGGGGAAUAGUGCACAAUGGGCGGAAGGCUGAUGCAGCAACGCCGCGUGCGGGAUGACGGCCUUCGGGUUGUAAACCGCUUUCGCCUGUGACGAAGCGUGAGUGACGGUAAUGGGUAAAGAAGCACCGGCUAACUACGUG